rnacentral:rRNA from 1 species
AUGGAGCGGGUGUGGGACUCAGGGCGGCGGAUGAGCCGGAGCAUCAGCCGCGGCAUGGGGGCGGAGAACUGGGGCGUCGACGAGGCGUUCCUGCACGGCGGCGGCGGGAGCAGGGCCAGCGCCGACGACGACGAGGAGGCGCUGCGCUGGGCCGCCAUCGAGCGCCUGCCCACCUACAGCCGCAUGAGGACCGCCAUAUUCUCGGCCGAGGCGCCCGCACAGGGCAACCAGCAGCAGCAGUACAAGGAGGUGGACGUGCGGAGGCUCGACGUCAGCGAUCGGCACGAGUUCAUCGAGCGCGUCUUCCGCGUCGCCGACGAGGACAACCAGCGCUUCCUCCAGAAGCUGCGCGACCGCAUCGACAGGGUGGGCAUCGAGCUCCCAACAGUGGAGGUGCAGUUUGAGCGGCUGACGGUGCAGGCGCAGUGCCAAGUGGGUAGCCGCGCGCUGCCGACGCUGUUGAACACGGCGCGCAACAUCGCGGAGGGCGCCUUGGGCCUCUUGGGCAUGCGGCUAGGUCGGCAGGCGACUCUCACCAUCCUCAAGGAUGUCUUUGGCACCGUCCGACCCUCGAGGAUGACGCUGUUGUUAGGACCACCAUCAUCAGGGAAGACCACUCUACUGUUGGCCCUGGCUGGCAAGCUGGACCCGUCGCUGAGGUGCAACGGCGAGGUGGCCUACAACGGAUACUCGCUGGACAAGUUUGUGCCACAGAAGACGGCAGCGUACAUCAGCCAGACUGACGUGCAUGUCGGUGUGAUGACCGUCAAGGAACACUUGAAUUCUCAGCCAGGUGCCAGGGCGUCGGCACCAAAUACGAUCUCCUAA